GCUGUCCUUUAGCAGCACGUAAAUGUUGGAGUUAAAAUGGUCCCAAUAUUAUCUGUGCUGCUAGAGUAAAAC
rnacentral:pre_miRNA from 1 species